rnacentral:rRNA from 1 species
CCCGUGGCGGCGUACUAUACAUGCAAGUCGAGCGGACAGAUGGGAGCUUGCUCCCUGAUGUUAGCGGCGGACGGGUGAGUAACACGUGGGUAACCUGCCUGUAAGACUGGGAUAACUCCGGGAAACCGGGGCUAAUACCGGAUGGUUGUUUGAACCGCAUGGUUCAGACAUAAAAGGUGGCUUCGGCUACCACUUACAGAUGGACCCGCGGCGCAUUAGCUAGUUGGUGAGGUAACGGCUCACCAAGGCGACGAUGCGUAGCCGACCUGAGAGGGUGAUCGGCCACACUGGGACUGAGACACGGCCCAGACUCCUACGGGAGGCAGCAGUAGGGAAUCUUCCGCAAUGGACGAAAGUCUGACGGAGCAACGCCGCGUGAGUGAUGAAGGUUUUCGGAUCGUAAAGCUCUGUUGUUAGGGAAGAACAAGUGCCGUUCAAAUAGGGCGGCACCUUGACGGUACCUAACCAGAAAGCCACGGCUAACUACGUGCCAGCAGCCGCGGUAAUACGUAGGUGGCAAGCGUUGUCCGGAAUUAUUGGGCGUAAAGGGCUCGCAGGCGGUUUCUUAAGUCUGAUGUGAAAGCCCCCGGCUCAACCGGGGAGGGUCAUUGGAAACUGGGGAACUUGAGUGCAGAAGAGGAGAGUGGAAUUCCACGUGUAGCGGUGAAAUGCGUAGAGAUGUGGAGGAACACCAGUGGCGAAGGCGACUCUCUGGUCUGUAACUGACGCUGAGGAGCGAAAGCGUGGGGAGCGAACAGGAUUAGAUACCCUGGUAGUCCACGCCGUAAACGAUGAGUGCUAAGUGUUAGGGGGUUUCCGCCCCUUAGUGCUGCAGCUAACGCAUUAAGCACUCCGCCUGGGGAGUACGGUCGCAAGACUGAAACUCAAAGGAAUUGACGGGGGCCCGCACAAGCGGUGGAGCAUGUGGUUUAAUUCGAAGCAACGCGAAGAACCUUACCAGGUCUUGACAUCCUCUGACAAUCCUAGAGAUAGGACGUCCCCUUCGGGGGCAGAGUGACAGGUGGUGCAUGGUUGUCGUCAGCUCGUGUCGUGAGAUGUUGGGUUAAGUCCCGCACGAGCGCAACCCUUUGAUU